AAUAUUGUAUAAUUCCUGUUAUAAAAGAUUUUUGAAAUUAAAUUAUUUGAAUAAAAAGAUGAGCACAUCUUUUAAUAUAACUGCAGGCUUUAGGGAAGAUUGCGCAAUAUUGAUCGAUCGUUUCGAAAAAGUUGACGAUAUAAGGUUUAAAAGUUUUUGCGAAAUUUGGAAAGAUUUAAAAUUUAGUUUAAUCUUUAAAGACAAAGAACAUGUUGCAGAAUUAAUGGAGUUUUGCGAAGAAAUAUUACAUCUAACGAAACAGUAUUUGUUUUCUGGUACAUUCAAAGAACGUAUUUGUGGCUUAUAUCUUUUAUAUGGAAUAUAUUUCAAAAUGCCAUGUUUUCAAUUUAAAAUUAGAAUUACAUUAACGGAGUGGCAAAUGAUUAUGGAAUUACAUAAUCAAAUAAAGGAAGGAGAACAUCAUGAUGCCAAUUAUGUAUUAAGCAAACUUAUCAUCAAUAAUGCUUUUAAACAUUGUCUUUUUGAUCAAGAGAUUAGCUUUGAAAAAUGCUUCAGAAAAAGAUAUUAUUAUAACAACAAUCCUUAUUCAGUUUUAUCGUCUAUUAAAAAUAUGGGUGAGAAAGAUCAAAUGUUUGAAAAGAUAAAUAAAUUAAGUAAAAUGUAUCACCAAAAGAAAUGUGAAGCAAUUGACAGCAAUACUGAUAAUUGCAGUUUAAAUUUAUUUAAUUCUAAUUUUGCGACUGAGAUUAUAAAUGAUAUUCAUAAGUUUAGUAGAGGUAAGGGAUACAAUAAAAAAAUGAGUACAAGUGCUUCAAAAAAAGAUAUUAAAGAAAUAGAAAGUGACAAGAAAAUAAAACAACCUCAAAGAGAUCUAGAUGAUGCCUAUCUCUCUUCUUCAAGUGAUCUUGGAAGCAAUGUAUCGCCAUUAAAUAUUACUGAUAACAAUACUGAAAGUUUAAUGAAUGAAUUUGCAGAGUAAAAAUAACAAAAUAAUCUACUUUUAACUGGUCAUUGUCAUCGAAUCCAGCACUGUGUCCUGCAUUGCGCACAAUAAAACUUGUUCCAUCGUAAUGCAUGCGCCGUUCUCCUCGACGUACAAAUAGAUGAGACGUUUGACCCAACGAUGCUGUGCAAUGUAGAAACGGAGUUGUCAGGGAUGCUGUUCCAUUGCUAGGUGACGUUCGUAGCUGAUACUUGUUGCUAUUACGUGCAAUUCUGUUGAAAAUUAUAAUGAAUUUGUUGCAGUUUUCAACACCUUCAUCCGUCAUCCAAUAUUGAGCAGCUCCCAGAGCUGUGGCUGCUUCUUGCAAGCACGACGAUCCAUGUCGCGAGCCGGAGUAAAAAACACUUAAUGAAAAGUCCUGAAAUAGCGUCAAAAUGAUGUACAACUGAUGUAAUUGCAAUCGUUACUUGUUUACAAAAUCGAUAAUCUAUUACUUGACUCAUGUCCGAAAACGAGUCAGUGGUUGUUCUAGUUCCCGCUGCAUCCACUAAAUAUACAAGAGCACAUUGUUCACAGAAAUGACUAACUUAUUAUUCCCAUGCGUAUCGUGGGCCAAAAUUUCAACACGCGAUCCAUAUUGAUAUAUUCUUCCAUUUGGAUGUAGUAAUGCAGCGGCUGCUCCAGAACAGCUUAACGAAAGCACGAUAUUAUUCUGCACUGACGAAAGAUGUAUAUAACGCAUAUGUGUAACUGUUUUCACGGUCGACCGUCAUGUCAACUCGGAUCCUAUUGCGAAGUCUCAGGGAAAUGGUACCAUGUGGCGUGGCAACAGCACCUCCUGCACUUGCAUCGGUCUCGUGUUCCCUCCAAUUUUCUGUAUAAAGGCAGGCCUCCUCCGUCGUGUAAUACGGAGUGGCCAUUGUUUUAGGAGUUCUUGGCUGUCUCCAAAUCGCCGCCGAACUCGAAUAAGUAGUCGCACCUGUUAUACCGCUCCAUUGGUCCGCUGGUGGCGUUUCGAAGUACUUGGAAAAGUCAUUGUACCGCUGAAAGGGUUUGUUCUCGAAUGAUUAAAAAAGAGCAGGCAUGAGAA